GUUGUGGGUUCUUUUUGUGGGGAUAAAUAUGUUCAACAUGAGAUAGCAGUGAUGAUGUGCAGUGUGUUGAAAGCUAUGGGAGCGUGCACUUCAGAAAGGUGAAUUUUAUGAUAGGUGAAUUUGAUCUAAUUAUUUCUAUCUAAGUACAAAUGUUACUAUGUCUCUCUAUUGAUAUACAUAUAUCUAUAACUCUAUUUAUCUAUGAUCUACCUAUCUAUCUACCUGUCACUUAUCUAUGUUGGACAUCACUAUUCUUCAUCUCAUCAUUGUUAGAAGUGAAAAAAGCCACCCUGCUCUGGUAGAUUCCACAGGCCAAACUGUUCUACAAGACAAAACUAUGCAUUCUUUGUAAGGAAAAAUGGCAAUGCACACAUGCAACUCUGAUUUUUAAACAUUUUUAUUUCUUUUUUUUCACUAUAAAAUUUUUCAUGUGAUAAUGUUCCCAAGAAAUUCCUAGCACUCUCACAGAAGAUGUGACUGUCUUAUUGUAAAGGACUCUGACUAAUUGUCAUUCCCUCUCUGUUCUUGCUGUUUUUUUGUUUUUGUUUUUGUUUUAAGUUUAAUUGGGAGCCAACUCUGCUGGCUUCCAAGCUCUGUCACUUAAUCAAGUCACAGAAUCUACCAUUAAGCUAGUCCUCUCUUUCCUUUCAUUUAUUCCUCCAAAUUCUUAAUCUCAAAUAUUAGAGUCAAAAGAAAGUGAAGGUUCUUUCCUUCAUAUUUGAAAGAGGAGGAUCUGAUCUAGGGAAUUCUAAACAAAAACAGUGGUUAUAAAUUUGUUAUAAGGGUGUUUCCGUCUGUUUCUCUCGGAACAGACAGCAUGCUUAAAUUGGAUCCUCUGUGAGGGUAUAAAAAGUUGUACACAGAGCCUGGGAAACACAAGGAAUGAUAAGGGAUUCCCCUUGGGUCCCUUCCUGUCCUGGGGCUGCAGGUGCAGAGGGAAGGUGGACUUAAUCUCUUCAAAGAGACAAGACCAUUGGCAGGAGUCAUGGCCUUGUGAAGACCCUCCAGGAUAGAAGGCAAAGGAGUAUAACCCCCAGCUCACUCCCUACUCUCUCUUAAAAUUGCUCAAGUGACCAGCACUGUCCAAGCAAACUGUAUGCUGAGUCAGGAGAUUCUGUUUCACCUAGUUACAGGGGUCGUGGAGAAGGAUGUAGCAUUGAUGUGAAGAGCGAGAGAGGGUCCCUGUCAUAGUACACGUUAGAAAUCCCCCACAUUCUGAAUGUUACUCCCAGUUCCACAGAGAACCACUUAGGACUCCAUAUGCUUUAUCAACAUCAUCUAAUUUAUUCUACAAAAUAAUUUAGUCACAUAGGACUUUUUAUUUUUUUCUACUUUUUCAAUGAGGACACACAAGUUCAGGGAGAUUACUUGCCCAGAAUUUCAGAGAGGUCUUGGAAGAACCAGGAUUUCAUUCUAGGUCUGGUUGACCCCAAAGGCAUGUUCUUUUCCUUGUAUGAAGUUGAUACUCACCUUAACAAAGUACAGUUGUCCAGCAUCAAAUGUUUCUUGUUCCUCAUAAAACUUACUGAAAAAUAACAAAAGGAUGUCCAAAUUGCAAUACCUUGUCUUUUAAUCACAGGGCCAAGUAAACUCAUUCCAUGGGGCAGGUAGGGAAUAAAAUACCUGAGAAAGUCAAGCAUGUGGACUGCAAGGGUGUAAUGAAAUGUGUACCACUACUGCAUGUUCUCUCCUCCGAAUGUCAAAGAGGUGAGAUGGGGUGAUGAGAGACCUUAAAGGAUCCCUUUGUCUAGAGAUUUGAUGUAUGUACCAAAUAUAUUCCAGCAAUUAAACAUGAGUUUAUUAAAUAUGUUUGAGCUUGUAAAAUGCCAUCUUGAAAGAUGGAUGAGAUUUUGAAAAAUAAUAGACAGCUAGUUUCUGACCUCAGAGAGCCCAGCCCUCUUUUUAGGCAACAAUCUACUGUAGGUGAGAGGCAAGAUAGCUAAAUGGAUGAUAAAUGGAUACAUGGAUGGAUGGAUGGAUAAUAUUUGAUGCAUGGAUGGAUGGGUGGAUAGAUGGAUAGAUAGGUAGGUAGAUCAUAGAUAGAUAAUUGUAAUUGAUAGAUAAAAGAUAAGUAGAUAGAUAAUAGAUAUCUGAUGGAUAUAUGGAUGAGUGAAUGGAUAGAUGAAUAGGUAGGUAGAUGAUAGAUAGACAGUGGAUAGAGAGUAGAUACCUGAUAGAUGGAUGAGUGGAUGGAUAGAUAAGUAGAUAAUUGACAGAUCAAUAAAAAGGUAUACACAUAUAUGCUGGGUACCCUCUUUCAACUAUUUAUUCAUUUGCCUGAUCACUAAAUAGUUGUCAAGUACUAAUAGUAUAUCAGUUACUGGGUAUUUAAAGAUAAAGUAUAUGUAGUCAUUGUCCUAUGGAGUGAACAGUCUAGUAGUGAAUUCAUAGAGAGAGACAGAUACUGAUAACUCGGUGAAUACUACUUACAGAUCUCUGCACAACAUACUUUUCACAUAUCACACAAGGAGAGCUGCUGAAUCUAGAGAUUAAAGGUAAGAUAUGAUUAAAUUUUAAUUUAUUUAAUUUAGAUUAUAAAUGCUAGAGAUGCUAUUAAUUAAUAGAUGUAGAUCAGUAUGGGUUGAGGUAGCUGGCAAAGUCCUCCAAAAGUGUUGGAAACUGAGCCCUGAAAAAUGAAAAUGUUUGGAUGGUUGGAAAGACAAAGAAUUUUAUUAUUGGCUUCAGGAAUAGACCAUGGAUUCCUGGCUCAUUAAGGGUGUUUAAUAAAGGCAAAGAUAGUAAAUAAGGAACACUUUUUUGUAACAAGAAUGACAACAAAGAUUAAAAUUCUGCGUGCAGGAAGAAAGUGCUACAAAAGAAAUGAAUACAUCAAAGGCAAAACUUUAAAUUGUCAUCCCACCAUAUAUACAAGUGGGCUAUUUAUAGACAACUCACUGGCAACCCCAGGCACCAGAGAAAAGAGCCUUUCCAUCUCCAUUUCCAAUUAUUGUACUAGAACACUUCAAAGUAAGCAAAUCUAAAAUCCAAUCCAGGCAGUAUGAGCUUUGGGAACACAAGGGGUUGUGUCUCUUUUGUUAAGAGGAUUUCAGAGGAUGGGGAAGACAGGAAAGGUGGCACUUAAAGGCAGUUGUUCUAUACGACAGAAUUUUCAUGGUAAAGCAGCACCAUAGGAAUCCUCUCUCUUCUCAAGCAACAUCAUCUCCAGACCAGACAUGUUUAUAAAGGGGCAGGACAGUAUGCUAGUGCUCCAUCUUUCCAAAGCAAGCAACUGGCUUGUGUGCUCAGGGCAAGCCAACAUGGCCAUCUUUGCUGCAGUCGUUGACUUUGCCUUUGAAUAACUGUGUCCCAAGAGAUCCCCAGAGCUACCGCCUCUUCUCCUAUCACUUCACUGAACAGAGAUCUCUAGAAAGGGAUAGCAGUAUCUUCCUUUAAAUGUCUCCUGAAAGAGAACUUCCACCAACAAUGUGGCCAGGUAACAUACUGUAAAAUCUUUAAAAAGGAAGCAGCAGAGUUUCUUAGAGCAUAUUAAUAAGAUGACAACUACAAAAACUGAGAAGUUCAACAGAAAGAUAAAUAUGAAAAUUUAAACCAAAAAGUAAAUCAUCAGUGAAUUUAGAUAUGUUCCUUUUUAACCAAAAGGAAUGAUCCUCAACAAAAAGUGAGUUCUAGUUUGUAUAGUCCCUGAGGUCAGAACCAGAAUUCUUCCACAGAUUCGUAAAAACAUCAUUGAUCACAAGCAAAAAAUCAGAAGAAACAAAAGAUCACAGGAAAUAAAAUAGCUAAUAAACAUCUUAAAAAAAAAAAACAAACAGAAUCCUGAGAACGUUAGAUGAAUUCCUAUUUGUUAACCAUAUUCAUCUCCCCUCCCCAACCCUAUCACAGGAAUAUCCGUGGCUGCUUUCUGUAGCAUGACAGACCCCCAGCUCCUUUUUUAAAUCCUCAUUUUACUCAGACCUUAUUCUCUCCAGAUUCCCUUGGCCAGUUUGUCUCAGCUUUGCCCAGGAUAGUUCUUUACAUUACAUUACUCUUCUGGGCUCCAUCUUUCCCUUUAUUUCUAAUUUUAUAGAAUCUCCCUGGAAAUUAAAUGUAUGUUCCUGUAAACAAAUUCCAAUUGUGUAUUUCUGCUUCUUACAUCCACCAUGAAUUGCAGAUUCAUUUUCCCAAUGUCAUAGUAGUCUCUCUAAUCUCAUCCCCACUCCCCAAAUUUGCUCCCGAUCUUUUUUCACACUAAUUAAUCAGGUGGUCUAGCCACUGACCCAGGCUGGAUCUAGCAUUUGCUGUAACUAUUUCUCCCCCUCAUCCUCUGACUUUAAUUGCCUUUCAAGUCCUACCAAAUAUACAUCAUACACAUUCCUUGAAAAUAGCUCCUGUAUUCGGUCUCCCCCAUCAUUCCACUAGUUGAGACCCUCACCUCUUUUCAUGAAAUAUUGUAGCAGCCUUCUUACUAAUUUCUCCCUGUUUCCAUUUUCUCCUCCCUUGGGUAUAUUUUCCAGGCAGGCACCAUAUUUCUUGCUCCAAAAUAUAAAUAUUAUAUCUUUGUUUAUAAACCUUCCUUGGUGUCUACAGUAUUAAAUCAUACCACCUUAGCCUUUGAAACCCAUCCCCAAGUCCUGAUGUCCUACCACCCCAUGUGUAUAUCCUCUGCCCCCAUCAGCACACACUCUGUUGCUCAUUAUGCCUUAAAUACUCCUCCCUACAAUUGUUAUUCCCUCCACCUGGAGCAUCAUCAUCACUUAUAUGUCUACGUCAUGCCUUCUCUUUCUCUGGUCCCUGUGACAUAUAAACAAGUUCGUUCUUUACUAAUUUUCAGAGCCAAGCUUUGCACUGGGGGUCACCGUGGGCAUCCCCUUAGUGAAACACACACUGUGUGCUAUAUGAAACUUUCAAGAUAUGUAAACCUCAAAAUAGAUCACACACAAGUAAUGAAACUUCCCCUAAAACAUUGCUCACAGCUUCUCUACCUUGUGAUAAAAAUGGUCCACUCUUUGCAUGCUGCAUCUUAAUUAAUUUCUUGGAACACAUACGACAAGAGGUGUGCAGCAAAUCAAUAGAAUAAUAUUUUUAGUGAAAUAAUGAUUCUAUACCAUCUUCCCUCUCCAAGUCUUCCUGCAGAGGUCACAUAUUACGUAUUUCUGAUACUUUUGAGAAAUAGAAGAUAAAUUUUAACUGUAUGGGGAUGAACCUCUGGUCUAAGUCCUGUACUUUGCCCAGUUUCCCAGUGAGACUGCGCCCUAGUUGCCCACAGGGUUCAGUUGCUUAGUGAUGCACUGUUAAUGUGCUUCUUAUCUCCCCUUCUUUCUCUCCUUAUCUCCUCUGGUCCUGCCUUUCUGCUGUUUCUCAGCAUCACCUCCAAAGUAACCUAUUCACUCUCAAGUCAUUUUCUUAGACUCAACGUAGGAGGAAACCCUGCAGGACACAUAAGAAUAGCUGAGAAUAUUCUCAGAGAAUAAUUGCAUUUUUCUAGGGGUUUUUAACCUACAGAAAUUAAAUGAUUUGUUUAUGCUGUGAUGGGAUAUUAAAGGUAGUGUUUUUGAACAGGAGCAUGAGUAUAUUCAUGUGUGGGUGUCUGGAUUUCAGUAUCUCUUGGCUGAAGUGGUUCCUUUUCCAAUUAACUACAAUAGCAUCUCCCUUGUUCCCAAGGCUGUUUUGUUAGAACCAUUUAGUUGAUGAUGGAUUUGCACAUGGAUCAGGGAAGCUAGAUCUGUAAGUUAAAAGAUUCAAGAUGCCAAAUCUUUAGACUGUGCUCUUCGGAGGGUGAAUUGAACCCAUGUAAAGUACAAACACAUCACCAGUUAGGGUUCUUCUUAGAAGGAAGUAUUUAAAGGGUUCUAAAUGAUUCCACUUACUCUAUUUUUCUGUAGUUCCUUAGAUAAAAGAAAAUGUAAAGAAACCUGGUUUAUUUGAACUUUGAUUCAUAUAGAAUUAGAAAUUGCAGUGGGUCUUGUAUUUCUUACACUAGUCAAAAUGCUGGCUACAAACUGGGAUCUUUCUGUUCACAUCUCCAGAGACUUAUCUUCAUAUAUUUAUUCAGCUACCCUCCACUCUUAUUCAAGUGCUGUUGUCAGCAGGCAAAGCUGUGCGUGUAAAGUAUGUGGUGCGAUAAAUAAGAAGGUGAUAAAGGGAAAAACUUAACCGCUAUAAAUGGAAGUCACAGUACAGUUAAUUUGAAACAGAGCAGUUAAAAUUAAGCUCCAAAUAAACAGCACAGCUUUUUUUUUUUUUCUGGGAAGCUCCUUUAUCAGUUUUCCAUAUAUUCAAUUUUAAUUUUUUUAUUUGUCAUGAGUUUAUAUAAUGUAUGUACACAUUUUUUGGCAUGUGAAUCAAGAGAAAGUCAGCCUCCUUGAAGUGAUUUAUUCUUUAUCUUUUUAUUUAUCCUUUCCUAUAAUGGUGCUAAUUGCUUCUUCUUCUUAAGUUAUUACUUGAACUAAUUUAG
rnacentral:lncRNA from 1 species